rnacentral:rRNA from 1 species
GGUUAAGUGACUAAGCGUACACGGUGGAUGCCUUGGCAGUCAGAGGCGAUGAAGGACGUAUUAACUUGCGAUAAGCCCAGAUUAGGUAGUAACAACCACUUAAGUCUGGGAUUUCCGAAUGGGGAAACCCACGUGCAUAAGCACGUAUCCUUACCUGAAUACAUAGGGUAAGGAGGCGAACCGGGGGAACUGA